GAGGUUAGAAUCCUCUUAUUUCUA
rnacentral:tRNA from 1 species